UGUAACUAAAAAAAAAAUUAGUGCAGAAAUUUUUUUGAAUUUUGUAAGUAUCUUAAUAAUAUAUUGGCUCAGUAAAGUAGAAAUCAGCCCCCAAAAAGAAAGCUAAUAAUUUAAUCUAAUACUUUUAUUUUGAUGAGAGAAGGUCGUAAUAUAUCUUUUGUAAAAACUUUUUAUAUAAAAAAUUCUUAAAUUUUCAAUUUUUUAUGAAAAUAGUUAUAAAUAAAAUACUCUAAAUAAUUAUUAUACCGUCAAAUAGUCCAGUUUGGGAUAGUGUUAAAACAUGAGACAGUUAAUUCUUAUUUUAGCCGUAUCGUUAACCCAUUGUAUAUUUUGAUAUUCAGAUAUAACUAUUAGAAAGUGUAAUACACUUAAAAUUAAGAAUUAAUCAUUAAUAUUGUAAAUUGUAUCCUUAAUUAUUAAUAUCAUUCUUCCUAAUAAAAAGGGACCUAACUACUAACUUGAUUGUCAGUAUUCCAUCGCUGUUGAUGUUAUAUCAUAGUCAUUAUUUUGACUGUUCCUGAAAACACGUAUCCCAAAGAUUAAAUUGCACUUAGUACGACCAGUUUACCAUAACCGUAUCAAUCUACGGCACUAGUAAAAUCAUAACAAAUAUUUUUAAGAUAGUCAAAAUAUUUGUGUCACAUAUAUUUAGUGGUAAAAUUUGUAAAAUAUUUGAUUGUCUCAAGUUGGCCAUUUGGCGAUUUUAUUUUUAGUAAAUAAUUAAAAAAUUAUUAUUAUAUUUUUAUUUUUUGUAAUAAACAAAAAGAAGGGAUAGCGUAGGAACGCUGGCAAUAAAAAAAGAGAAAGGAUAGUAUGAUGCGAAGCAAAGGAAAGUAUGAGUGUCUAGUGGUAUUGGGCACGGACAAUAAUACAAUGAAAUAGAAAGGGAUCUCGGGGUAUGUAUGCUUUCGUAAACACGUCUGAUAUAUAUAUAUGAAUAAGAUGAAAUAACAACGAAGAAUCACUACCAAGAUCCUGCACAGAAACAAUUACAUGAAUUUCUGGUGAGUCAUAAAUAUCGUACUUCUUUAUAAAAGUAUUUUUGGUUUGUUUUCGACAACUUAUCUUAUUCUAGUUGUUUAUUACUAAAAAACCUUCUAUAAAGAUAUUAUUAUAAUUUUUUAUAUAAAUGAAUAUUUUCACUUACCUCUAAUUAUCCUCAUAGGACAGAUAUUCUGUUGAGAUGAAUUAUGUAGUUGAUGUCACUGUAAGCAAUAUGUAUGUAUACGCACUUGAAAUUGCGCGGCUCUUAUUAUUAUAUUAAUUCACGUAUAACUAUUUCUCUAGUACAACUCUAUAUUAAAUCUACUCAAGGUGAAAACUAAAUUUAUUAAAGUUUUAGUAUUUUAUUUAAAAUCUUUUUUUUUAUAUUUACGUAGUGCACUCUUUGACCUUGUGUUUGGUGUUUUAUACUAACUUAUUUAUAAUUUAGUAGUUUGUAAAACCAAUAAAGAAUUUUUAAAUAACUGCCCUGUACAAUAAACGAUUUCCAAGUGGUCUACGUCUUUUCAGUUCAUAGGGUGAUCUAGGGUAGAUUCCAGCUCAAUAUCAGUUCUUUGCACAAUAGAUUAAACUAGUGUCUUACACUCCGAGUGCCCGCACUGUGGCUGAGUUCAGACUGGCUAGUCGACAAGUGGAGAGACACUUUCUAAUUGCUUAGGUAAUUAGUAUAAUAUUUCGACUCUGAUUUAUUUGUAUUUCGUAGCUGGUUGUGUCAAUAUAAAAUCUCAAAUAAUAUUUUUAUUUUUAUGCAAAGAUUUUUAUGAUACGUGGCCUACUUCUUUUCAAUCACCUGAAGGACAACCCAGGCCGGACAUCACUUGGGUGAGACGGAAUGUUAUCUCACCGUGAGACCGGUUCACAGACUAUAUCUAACUUAGGUUUUGAAACUUUUUGUUUAAUUUAUAUACCCAUAGUAUAAUAUUUAAUAUUUAACGAUUAAAUAUAGUCUAGUUAACCUGAUGUAUGUAGCCAAAACAUUACAAAAAAACUUGGAUACAUUUACAAUAGGUGCCUUAAUUUAAGUUAAACAUGCAUGCUAAAAGAAUUAAUAUAUCUACAUUAUAUAAAUGCAAAAACACACUCAUAAUAUCAUAAAAUUUAGUGUCCAGUAAUUUAUAAUGAAAGAAAUCUUGAAAAUUGCUCAUUCGCGCCUAAUGCGAAACAUUUUGUUAAGUAAAAUUUAAUAAUAGAGUGUAGUCGUAAUGAGACUUUUCUCUAUACUGCUUAAUAGAACUAUUAAUAUAUUUAUAUAUUUUCAGUUUAUUGUGCGUUUCUACUAAGUUAUUUAAAAGUUUGAAUGAUUAGCUAGAUCGCUCUAUUAGUAACAAUGGGAAAGUUUUGAACCCCCCUUGCAUAAAGGGAACUGGUCCGAUUUAAAAAAAAAGUAUAUCGAAUGAAAGAAAUAUAUAAAUAUUAUUUCUCUUAAAAAAAUAAUAAUGAUCCAUAAAUUUUUAAUCUCAAAUAAUAUCUUUAUCUUUAUGCAAAGACUUUUAUGAUACGUGGCUUACUUCUAUUCAAUCACCUGAAGGACAACUAAAGUAAGAUGCGACUGUACUAUAGGUUUAUGCUAAGUUAGUUAUGUAUGUGUCCUACACUAUGAUAGCCCACACUGUGGCUGAGAUCAAACUGACUGGUGUACAGGGGGAGAGACACUUUAGAGAACGCUUGUAAUUAGUUGGAAUCUUGACUACGAUAUUAUUGUGCUAGUACUCUGUCCAGACAAUUUGUGGCCCUUCAAUAAGUAAUAGAACACAAUGCAGUCUAAUCGUGUAUUUUUUGAAGACUAUAGAUAUAUAAAAUAAAUAAAUACUAAUAUUUUAUAUGUGUUGGAAUAUUUGUAUCACUAAAAGUAUUCGACCGAAAAUAACAUGUUUAACAUUUCUUCUAAAUCCCAUCGAUUAGGAAUGAAAUAUAAAAACGGUGUAGAUUUUAUAUGGAGUUGUAACCUAGAACAAACCAAACAUUCACGCAGAUUCCAUUUACGUGUAUUGAUUGAGACUCCAGAGGAAAGCGUAAUCGUAGCAGAGAGAGUUUUUUGAGGGGAAAUGGCCUAUUUAUAUCCCGCAAAACUGGUUUAGUGAUCUCUGGUGAGAUUCUUGAAAUCUUUUUUGGUGUAUUUGAUUGAUCAAUUUGAUAAAAUCUUUUACGCGGGCCUUUUAUGGAAUGCAUAAGACGGUAGUUAAAUUUGUGUAAGGGUAUUAUUUUUUAUUUAUCUUAUCCAUAGGGAAACACUGAUUUGGUGAUAUAUUUUUAUUAAGUAUAUGUAUUAAUUAUUACAUGUAUUAAAAUACGACACUACAUUUUUAGCAUGAGACCCCGACAUAUAUUGAAAGAAAUCCACAAAAAAUAAUAAAUAUUAAAAUCACAUUUGAAGAAAAAUACAUUAUUUUAAAUUACAAUGAAAAACAUAAAACUUUCGAUUACAACGUACAAAAAACCAAUAAAGAAUUAAAGUCUUUUUUGGUUAAUGUAGACUGCCGAAUUCAAUUCAAAAUAAUUAAAAUCCAAAACAGUAAACUGGAUAAUGACACACCCAUAUUAAAUGAUACGGUGUAUGAUGAAGAAACCUAUGUUCAACUAAGAAAAGUCCACAAUUUGUCUUUAUGGAACCAUGUCGAAGAGGAACUUGUACAAUCGUAUUUUUCUACACUACCCCGUACAACACUUAAAGAUUUCAUUAAUAAUUCAACAAUGUACAAGUGUAGUACUGAAUUCACUAUUACGAGAGCAAUAGAAAUCAUGGAAAUCGUACUAUUAAGUAUGCAAUUUUGCUAAUUUCUUAUACCUUUGAGGCAAUAAGAAUUAGUCUGUCUUUAGAGUUUUAUCGGUACCCAAAUAUUGCAAAGUUUGAAAGAUUAGAUGACGCGCUGAUAAAAUUGACAGGCAACAAUAUCUUGAGUAAAGGAUAUUGUGAUUUUUUUUAUGUAAAGUAUGAAAAAAAUGCAAUGUUUAUUUUAAGAUCUAUGGUAUAUAAAUACAUAAAAUAUUUCCUAACCCCUGACGAAAUUCAAUACUACUCAAAUGAUUUAAAUGAAAAUUACUGUGAACAGCAUAAUGUCGAUAAAAAACCCAUAUUACCACAAUAUCUAUUAGAUAAAGUAUUAAAUGGAUUUCCCAAACCUCACGAAGAAAACAAAUUUCAAAACAUACCAUCGAAUUUACAUGAUGUAGAGGAAAAAUUGGAGAAAAUUAAUAGCUUAAUUAAGACAGAAUACAAAUAUAUUUUAAAAAUAGCUACCUAAUAAGAAUAACUUUAAGUAAUUUCUUAAUUAAUAAAUUGAUUCUUAC